GAAUAUUAAGCUUGAUAUGGCACAAGGGUGAGUGAAUGUAAGGUAGUUUCAUGCCUUAGAUCAAUCCUCCGAUGGCCUAAAUUGUUGUUUGAGGCUAAGAGAAUCCUAUCAGAUUCAUAUUUCCUAUCUACUGCACUGGCUGGGAGGCCAAAGGUCAAAGAAAGCUUGGGAGCAGAUAUGGUCUGGUCUAUCACGGCCACACUAUCUUUUUGUGAGUAAAUUCAAGGUCUGGACCGAAAGCCACAAGCACUGGUUUAGACUCUUGUGUCUCUCUCAACAUUAAGCCCAAAGCAUUUGAUUGAAAAGGAGGAUUGACUUGAGGGUGAAUAUCGUGGUGAAUCUCUGCCUUUGGUGCCUGUUUCGUUUUUGUUUGUUAAGUAUUUUCCUACUUCAAUGUUCGCUCAAUUCACGGAAUGUCACUAAGCUACCUCGUAUUAGCAUCCACUCAUCAUUGUCACCCAUCUUCCUUAUAUACCUCAUUCCUAAACACGGAACACCCACAUUUUCUUGCUCAAAUGAGCAUUCCAAAACUUCAUCAAGUGAGACUUUAUCUCGAUUCUUUGCAUGAAAAAAA
rnacentral:lncRNA from 1 species